AUGUGUGCAUGUAUGUGUGUGCAUGCGCCUUGUGCGCCUGUGUGUGUGUUCUCCUAGGCCUGAGUCACUUAAUUGGAAGCACUCCCCGCACUGCCUUGGACUCCUCCAGCUCCGUCAGCAGACGACAUCAGGAAUUACAGUGUUUGGCACCUGGCAACUGAGUCACUAGCGGCAGCGGGAGCCGUCCCAGCAGCUCCGUGACAGCAGCGGCCCACUCUUAGCCACACUGUGUGUAGGCAGCCCAGCCCUGGGGCUGCCCGGGGCAGCUUCCAGGGGAGGCGGAACCGCUUCUAGCGGCAAAGCAAGCAAGGGGCUGCGUGUGAGCCCAAAAGCAGAGCAGACAACAUGACCCUCCCAGAAGUGCGUUCUUCCCGAGAGCACUAACCGACCACGUGUCUCUCUCCUGCGAGCUGUCUGGUAGACAGCAGGGGUUCCAAGCGUGAUGCCUACCUGGGCCUAGCACCUGGGGAAUCCCCAAAGGAGAACUCGUUCUUCUGUGGGCCCUUUGGUCAUGGGAGCACAUAAAACCCGCCAGUGGCUGGAUGGUACCCAGGACUGUGGUCUGCACACUCUGCUCGUCAAGAGGGGUUCUCUGCUGUGAGAGGCGUGACCAGAGAAGGUUCCUCGAGUCUGAACGCCCCGGGAGAGGGCAGGCGCCUCUCCCACAGCCUCAGCCUCCUGCACCUGCCCUUCCUGCAGCCAAGUCUCAACGAGAAGGCACAUGCUGGUGACGGGCGUGGACAAGGAUGGAGAGACAGAUUUCCUCAUCCCCCUGAAACACGUUCAAAGCGCCAGGCCGCUCUGCAGACAAGAACGAGAGACCUCGUCACUCCUGUGGUCCGGAGAGCCUUCCUGCUGAGGCGCUAGAUGGCUGAGGGCUUGGCUGGGCCUUGGAAAUAACAGACCACAGUACCCGAGACAGUGGUGAGCCCUGAGGCUUCGGUGAGGUGUGUGGUGAGGUGGCCACAGGCGGGUCAGGCAGCCAAGGAGGAGAGACUGCAGGUGCCCUUGAAGAAACACUGUUAUCCGAGAAAGGAUUCUUGCAGCCAAAAGGGAGGGGCGUUCGGGUACCCAGGGGCGGAGAUGAAAAAUACAGUAACUCUUUCUUGGGGGUAUAAUCUCUCAUUUGAAGAAGCGGUGCAGUGUGACAUUGUUCCUUUGACGUACCAACUGACAAUUCUGGAUAAGGGGGAUCGCAAAGCGGCAGCUCUGUGUGACCUUGGGAUGGACAUGAAGAGGAAUGUCUGUACUGGGUCCGUCAGCUAUUGGGAAAGGGCCAGGGAAUUCACGGGAGAAUAAUGAGGGAAGCGCUACUGGGAAGACUCUGGGUGUUUCUGAAGCCUUGAAUCAAAUCAAAACCGAUGGUGGUGAAUAUUCUGUAUCUCACUGCUGCUGCUAACUCUAGGCAGCUCUGCAACCUUGGGGAGAAACCUCCAAAGCAAGAGGGAACCCUUUCCUACCCCGAGUCUGGAUGUGCUGCCCCCUGGUCCAUCCCUGUUCUGUCCGUGCCUCUUCCAGGCGGCACCAACAUGAUGGCGGCUUGUCUAGGCUGCUGCGUUCAACUUAAGCUACACGGAGAGACAGAGGUGUGCAUUCGGGACAGGUGUCCCUGAGAGAGUCCACAGCCCCCGCUAGGACUUAGGGGCCCCAGAAGGCCCUGAAGUUGUAUACAAAGCAGAGUAGGUAUGCAGAUGCGUGUUCUUCAAGGGAGGAGGGCUGCAUAGCUUUCAUUAAGUUUGAAGAAAAAGCUCUGAUAAAGUUAUAAAGGGAAAUUCAGAGUAACAUGGUUGCACAUAAUGACCGGGUACACAUGUAACUUAGGGCAUAAGGAAUGCAGACAAGUAACGACUCUGUUCAGGAUACUUAGUGCUAUUUGGGGGCAGCUGAGACACUGGGCAUGAGGUGGCCAGGGAGCCCGCAUGCCUGGCACGUGUGGUCAGGGCUGGGUACCCAUCUCAGCCAUUUUUAAUUAUCACUACUUUUUUAGGGUCUAGUAACAGAAGAAAUGCAAUUUAAAGGCUCUCCCAAUGGGCUUAGUUCAUCCUGGAAAAGACCACAGACAUAUAUAGACAAAUGUGCAAAUACAUUAAAGGAGCAAUUAGUCACUAAUGCAGAAGCCAGACAGAUGGAAUGACAGCAAAUUAAGCA